CUCCUUUGACGUUAGCGGCGGACGGGUGAGUAACACGUGGGUAACCUACCUAUAAGACUGGGAUAACUUCGGGAAACCGGAGCUAAUACCGGAUAAUAUUUCGAACCGCAUGGUUCGAUAGUGAAAGGUGGUUUUGCUAUCACUUAUAGGUGGACCCGCGCCGUAUUAGCUAGUUGGUAAGGUAACGGCUUACCAAGGCGACGAUACGUAGCCGACCUGAGAGGGUGAUCGGCCACACUGGAACUGAGACACGGUCCAGACUCCUACGGGAGGCAGCAGCC
rnacentral:rRNA from 1 species